rnacentral:rRNA from 1 species
GUGAGGAAUAUUGCGCAAUGGAGGCAACUCUGACGCAGCCAUGCCGCGUGCAGGAAGAAGGCGCUACGCGUUGUAAACUGCUUUUAACCGGGAAGAAACCCCAGGACGUGUCCUGGGUUGACGGUACCGGAGGAAUAAGCACCGGCUAACUUCGUGCCAGCAGCCGCGGUAAUACGAAGGGUGCAAGCGUUAUCCGGAUUCAUUGGGUUUAAAGGGUGCGUAGGCGGAGCGUUAAGUCAGUUGUGAAAUCCUGCAGCUUAACUGUAGACUUGCCAUUGAUACUGGCGCUCUUGAGUGCGCUUGAAGUGGGCGGAAUGUGCCGUGUAGCGGUGAAAUGCUUAGAUAUGGCACAGAACACCAAUUGCGAAGGCAGCUCACUAAGGCGAUACUGACGCUGAGGCACGAAAGCGUGGGGAUCGAACAGGAUUAGAAACCCUGGUAGUCC